rnacentral:rRNA from 1 species
UACGUAGGGGGCAAGCGUUGUCCGGAUUUAUUGGGCGUAAAGCGCGUGUAGGCGGCUAGGUAGGUCCGUUGUGAAAACUCGAGGCUCAACCUCGAGACGCCGAUGGAAACCAUCUGGCUAGAGUCCGGAAGAGGAGAGUGGAAUUCCUGGUGUAGCGGUGAAAUGCGCAGAUAUCAGGAAGAACACCCGUGGCGAAGGCGGCUCGCUAGUACGGUACUGACGCUGAGACGCGAAAGCGUGGGGAGCAAACAGG